rnacentral:lncRNA from 1 species
UCAAAUUAGAGAAGAUGAAGCAUAGUUAAGGAGUAUAACUAUUUAGAUUGCAGACCAGAAAUCUAUGAACUUACCUAUGAAAAUUGGAGAAAUUGAGUAGAUUUUUUUUGAAUAUGAAGUUUCUAUGCCCAUCCCUGCAUAUCAUGUUUGCAAUCCUCUCAUUUCUCCUUGAAGUAAAUGCAAAGACCUACACAUGAAAAAUUAAUAAAUCUUAAAAACACUCACAUCAAGAACAAAGCGUAAGGAAAACUAAAUUUCAA